UCAGCAUGUGUUUUUAGCUUCAUAUAUCAUGUUAGUAGCUCGAUUCAUAGAUGUGCAUUAUUUUUAAAUGAAAUCUGAAUUGGAGUUUAAAAAUGUUAGUUUUAUUAUACAUGUUGGACUUGAAAUUGACUUAGUAGAAAACCAUAGGUUCUAUACUGUCAUGUUCUAAAAACUACCAGAUUUAGUUUUAGGAGCUGUAGUUUGUUUGUAUCGCCGCAGUUUGUAGGCUGUGGAUACCCAGAAUAGUGUUGAAUGAAUUUACGCUUGUGUUGAGAUGCCGAGUUUAUUUUUACAGUAGUGUAUAGACUGUUCCGGACUGUUGGGCGCCGUUGUGGUUGAUGGUGGACCCGGUUUGCUGUUUUGCAUCAAAUUGUGCCGAGGGCAUAUUU
rnacentral:lncRNA from 1 species